GAGUGAACACAGCUCUUUUAGAAUGUUUUCUAGCAGCUUUUCUGACUUUUGUUGGGAAAACUUA